GCUGCGCUUGCCGAAGCCAUAGUCGCCGAGAGGCUGCAGGGUGCGGCGCCAGAGCGCGCGGGGCACCUCGACGAGAGGGUUGGUGUUGGAGCCGUUGUCGGCGUCCGGCGCGGGCGUGACGUCUCCACCGGUGGCUGCCAGCAGCGAGGCGCGGCGGGGCUUGAGGACGGGGAAUCCGGCGCGGUGGGGGUGGCGGGGUGAGACGGAGACGAACUGGGGAGGGAGGAGGAGGGAUUUGGCCAUUGAGGACGGCAUCGGAGAAGUGGCUGCUUGUUCUCGGAUGGAUCCUGCGAAAUCAAAUCAAAAGAGGUUGAGUGGGGUAACUGGAUUUGGAUUUGGACUCAGUCAGUUGCGAAGGGGGUCGUGCCCUGCAAAGCGGAAGCUGGAUUUGGAUUUAGGGGGGACCGGGCGUUGUAAGCCUCCUCACAUUCAGAAGCGCGGAGGAGGAAGGAGAAGAGAUGGCUCAGUUGCGGUGGAGUGGAUGUGCCGCCGUGCCGGCGCUGAGGAAGAAAACGGGCGGGCGGUGCGGCACCGUCUCGCGUCCCGUCCCGUCCGUCGGACUUCCGACCAACCCACCCUACUCAAUCCAAGUUUUUUC
rnacentral:misc_RNA from 1 species